rnacentral:rRNA from 1 species
GACGAACGCUGGCGGCAUGCCUAAUACAUGCAAGUUGAACGAUGAUAUUCUCUGCUUGCCGAGAAUUGAAGAGUAGCGAACGGGUGAGUAACACGUGGGGAACCUGCCCAUGAGAGGGGGAUAACAUUCGGAAACGGAUGCUAAUACCGCAUAAGGCUUGGGACGGCCUGGUCCAGAGCCGAAGGAGGGUUUUUGCUUUCACUCAGGGUGGGCCCCGCGCCGUAUUAGCUAGUUGGUGAGGUAAUGGCUCACCAAAGCUGUGAUACGUAGCCGACCUGAGAGGGUGAUCGGCCACACUGGGACUGAGACACGGCCCAGACUCCUACGGGAGGCAGCAGUAGGGAAUCUUCCACAAUGGGCGAAAGCCUGAUGGAGCAAUGCCGCGUGAAUGAAGAAGGUCUUCGGAUCGUAAAGUUCUGUUAUUAGAGAAGAACAAGUCAAGGAGUAACUGUCGUGACUUUGACGGUACCUAACCAGAAAGUCACGGCUAACUACGUG